GACGUAGGGGGCCAGCGUUGCUCGGAAUUACUGGGCGUAAAGGGUCCGUAGGCGGUGCGGUAAGUCGGGAGUGAAAUCUCUGGGCUUAACUCAGAGGCUGCUUCCGAAACUACCGUGCUAGAGUGCGAGAGAGGCAAGUGGAAUUGUGGGUGUAGCGGUGAAAUGCGUAGAUAUCCGCAGGAACAUCCGAGGCGAAAGCGGCUUGCUGGAUCGCAACUGACGCUGAGGGACGAAAGCGUGGGGAGCAAACAGG
rnacentral:rRNA from 1 species